rnacentral:rRNA from 1 species
UACGAAGGGGGCUAGCGUUGUUCGGAAUCACUGGGCGUAAAGCGCACGUAGGCGGAUCUUUAAGUCAGGGGUGAAAUCCCGAGGCUCAACCUCGGAACUGCCUUUGAUACUGGGGAUCUCGAGUCCGGGAGAGGUGAGUGGAACUGCGAGUGUAGAGGUGAAAUUCGUAGAUAUUCGCAAGAACACCAGUGGCGAAGGCGGCUCACUGGCCCGGAACUGACGCUGAGGCGCGAAAGCGUGGGGAGCGAACAGG